UACAGAGGUCCCAAGCGUUGUUCGGAUUCACUGGGCGUAAAGGGUGCGUAGGUGGUGAGGUAAGUCGGAUGUGAAAUCUCCGGGCUCAACCCGGAAAUGGCAUUGGAAACUACCUUGCUUGAGGGUUUGAGGGGGGAUUGGAAUACUUGGUGUAGCAGUGAAAUGCGUAGAUAUCAAGUGGAACACCAGUGGCGAAGGCGAGUCCCUGGAAAAUACCUGACGCUGAGGCACGAAAGCUAGGGGAGCAAACAGG
rnacentral:rRNA from 1 species